rnacentral:rRNA from 1 species
AUGGGAUUGUGCUGGGGGUCAGCUCGGCAAUCAUGUACUUGCACCAAGGCUGGGAGCAAUGUGUGUUGCACAGGGACAUCAUGCCGAGCAACAUCAUGCUGGACACGGGACACCUCCUUCAGCGCCAAGCUUGGCGACUUCGGGCUCGCAAGGCUCGUUGACCAUAGCCAUGGGUCGUACACGACGGAGCUCGCCCGCACAAUGGGGUAUAUGGACCCGGACUGCAUGGUGACUGGCAGGGCCACCGCUGAGUCGGACAUAUACAGCUUCGGCGUUGUCCUACUCGAGAUAGCCUGUGGGCGCAGGCCUGUCGUGGCCCUCCCAAACGAUACUGUGAUCCACCUGGCUCAACGGGUGUCGGAGUUGUACAGCCAGGGAAGAGUCCUUGACGCCGCCGACCCACGGCUGAUCGGGGAGUUCGACUUCCAGGAAAUGGAGCGCGUGAUCGUCGUCGGGCUCUGGUGCACUGCCCAUGACCGGAGCCUCAGACCUUCCAUCAGGCAGGCCAUCAGCGUACUAAGGUUCGAGGCUCCGCUGCCGAGCCUCCCAGCAAGGAUGCCGCCGAUUGGCCCACCAGGCUCACCUCUUCUUCCAUCUUUGCCUAUGUCUGAUUCUGAUGAUCGUAGCUGCAAAACUAGCAGAGCGUACCUGAGCUAG